UAUUCGCAUGGUCCUGCAGGCGGGAAGCUUGGCACCCACGCUGGGGACAGCCGCUCCUCCCCAAGGUGGAGGAAGGGAAAGGGACAGGGCACCAGGAGCGUUGAACUGCAAGGUCUGGAGCCUGGGUGACACUCAGGGUCAUGCUCUUGCCAAAGCAUUGCCUCGUGUGACUCAAAGAGGCCCGUUUCCAAAUGACAGUGCUGUGGUCAUCCAAAUGCCAGGGCUCUGAGGGCCAAAGGAAGGGGACAAGGGAGACCGGGCCCCUGGGGGGGUGCAUGUUGGGGUCACAGGGGUCCUAUACAGGGCGCUAGAGGGCCCAGUGGGGAAAUGUGGACAGGAAGGAAGGAGCUGUAGGUCACAGCUGCGAAUCUCAGUCAGCUCUGCAAUCUGAUCGGGGACAGGCGUGACAGGAGAAGAUGCCCUGUGGGGGGGUACGUGCUGGGAGGUCAAGGGAAAAGGGGGCAGGGGGUGCCCAACUCAAGGGAUUCAGAAUUAGCAACAAGAACACUUUGAGCACGUGUGUGGAAGAGACAUAGAAGUUGUUCUGUUAUGUUCUGUUUUCAAGAUGGUCUCACCAUACAGUUCAUCCUGGCCUCGAACUCAUUAGGUAGCCAGGCUGGCUUCAAACUCAUGCCUCCUGCCUCCACCUCCCUGCCGCUGGAAUUACAGGUGUGUACCACCAUGCCUGGUUGGCCCUGUUUUUAUAAACUUGCUCUACCUGUAAAAUUAUUUCAAAACAGAAAGUUAAAAACUAAAGAGUAACAGUGAUAUACAAGUGUGGCCGCACCGAGCGGUCCCUGCUGCUCCCUGCCGGCCUCCACUGGUUUCCUGACCUGGAUCCUGGACUCUACCCACCCUUGCUGGGCCACUGCCCAUCUCUGCCGUGGCAGGAAUGAUGCAAGAAACAGAGAUGAGCCCUGGAUCAGGGGAAGAUGGCAGGAUGACCACCCAGAAAGGCAAUGCAUGGAGAAAACCACCUUCCCCUGCUGCCUACGUGAGAGAGAAUAUAAAGGAGCAAGAGCCAACUCGGGAGGAAGAGGCUGCCCCAACCACUUCCGGGAGGGGUCUCAUCGCCCCAGGGCAUCUGCUGUUCUGGCUGAAUUUGGGUCCUGAUCAGAAGAAAACAGGGCUGAGGCUAGGCAGCUGCUUCUCCCCUCCUGUCUAAAUACAUGAAAACAAGCCUCUUCCGAGCACUGCUCUCCUAACUUCCAUCAGUGGGGAAACUGGGUUAUUCAAAAGGUCUCAAUUCAUUGAGACAACGGAGCUGUCAUCUGGGAAGAAUUAGAACUGGGACUCUACCUUAAUCCUCACACCAAAAUGAAUUCCAGAUGGUUCAGAAAUUUAAAACUGAA
rnacentral:lncRNA from 1 species